GACGAACGCUGGCGGCGUGCUUAACACAUGCAAGUCGAACGAAGUGGCGAACGGGUGAGUAAUACGUGAGUAACCUGCCCUCCUUUUUGGGAUAAGCCUUGGAAACGGGGUCUAAUACCGAAUAAAGGGGGAUGGGCUCGCGGCCUAUCAGCUUGUUGGUGGGGUGAGGGCCUACCAAGGCGGGGACGGGUAGGCGGCCUGGGAGGGGGAACAGGCAAAUUGGGAACGGGGUACGGCCCAGACUUCUUCGGGAGGGAGCAAGGGGGGGUAUUGGACAAUGGGCGGAAGCCUUAUGGCGCGGCGGCGCGUGGGGGGUGAAGGGUUUCGGGGUGUAAACCUCUUUCGGUAACGAACGGGUAGGUGGAGAAGAAGCGCCGGCUAACUACGUGCCAGCAGCCGCGGUAAUUC
rnacentral:rRNA from 1 species